rnacentral:tRNA from 1 species
AUCGGCGUAGUCUAGUGGUUUAGGACGCCGGUUUGUCGAACCGGAGGGGCGGGUUCAAUUCCCGUCGCUGGUG